UUAAGCGACUAAGCGUACACGGUGGAUGCCCUGGCAGUCAGAGGCGAUGAAGGACGUGCUAAUCUGCGAAAAGCGUCGGUAAGGUGAUAUGAACCGUUAUAACCGGCGAUGUCCGAAUGGGGAAACCCAGUGCAAUUCGUUGCACUAUCGUUAACUGAAUACAUAGGUUAACGAGGCGAACCGGGGGAACUGAAACAUCUAAGUACCCCGAGGAAAAGAAAUCAACCGAGAUUCCCCCAGUAGCGGCGAGCGAACGGGGAGCAGCCCAGAGUCUGAAUCAGCUUGUGUGUUAGUGGAACGGUCUGGAAAGUCCGACGGUACAGGGUGAUAGUCCCGUACACCAAAAUGCACAGGUUGUGAACUCGAAGAGUAGGGCGGGACACGUGGUAUCCUGUCUGAAUAUGGGGGGACCAUCCUCCAAGGCUAAAUACUCCUGACUGACCGAUAGUGAACCAGUACCGUGAGGGAAAGGCGAAAAGAACCCCGGCGAGGGGAGUGAAAAAGAACCUGAAACCGUGUACGUACAAGCAGUGGGAGCACCUUCGGGUGUGACUGCGUACCUUUUGUAUAAUGGGUCAGCGACUUAUAUUCUGUAGCAAGGUUAACCGUAUAGGGGAGCCGCAGGGAAACCGAGUCUUAACUGGGCGUUAAGUUGCAGGGUAUAGACCCGAAACCCGGUGAUCUAGCCAUGGGCAGGUUGAAGGUUGGGUAACACUAACUGGAGGACCGAACCGACUAAUGUUGAAAAAUUAGCGGAUGACUUGUGGCUGGGGGUGAAAGGCCAAUCAAACCGGGAGAUAGCUGGUUCUCCCCGAAAGCUAUUUAGGUAGCGCCUCGUGAACUCAUCUUCGGGGGUAGAGCACUGUUUCGGCUAGGGGGUCAUCCCGACUUACCAACCCGAUGCAAACUACGAAUACCGAAGAAUGUUAUCACGGGAGACACACGGCGGGUGCUAACGUCCGUCGUGAAGAGGGAAACAACCCAGACCGCCAGCUAAGGUCCCAAAGUCAUGGUUAAGUGGGAAACGAUGUGGGAAGGCACAGACAGCCAGGAUGUUGGCUUAGAAGCAGCCAUCAUUUAAAGAAAGCGUAAUAGCUCACUGGUCGAGUCGGCCUGCGCGGAAGAUGUAACGGGGCUAAACCAUGCACCGAAGCUGCGGCAGCGACACUAUGUGUUGUUGGGUAGGGGAGCGUUCUGUAAGCCUGCGAAGGUGUGCUGUGAGGCAUGCUGGAGGUAUCAGAAGUGCGAAUGCUGACAUAAGUAACGAUAAAGCGGGUGAAAAGCCCGCUCGCCGGAAGACCAAGGGUUCCUGUCCAACGUUAAUCGGGGCAGGGUGAGUCGACCCCUAAGGCGAGGCCGAAAGGCGUAGUCGAUGGGAAACAGGUUAAUAUUCCUGUACUUGGUGUUACUGCGAAGGGGGGACGGAGAAGGCUAUGUUAGCCGGGCGACGGUUGUCCCGGUUUAAGCAUGUAGGCUGGUUGUCCAGGCAAAUCCGGAUAAUCAAGGCUGAGGUGUGAUGACGAGGCACUACGGUGCUGAAGUAACAAAUGCCCUGCUUCCAGGAAAAGCCUCUAAGCAUCAGGUAACAUCAAAUCGUACCCCAAACCGACACAGGUGGUCAGGUAGAGAAUACCAAGGCGCUUGAGAGAACUCGGGUGAAGGAACUAGGCAAAAUGGUGCCGUAACUUCGGGAGAAGGCACGCUGGUGUGUAGGUGAAGCCCCUGCGGGUGGAGCUGAGACCAGUCGAAGAUACCAGCUGGCUGCAACUGUUUAUUAAAAACACAGCACUGUGCAAACACGAAAGUGGACGUAUACGGUGUGACGCCUGCCCGGUGCCGGAAGGUUAAUUGAUGGGGUUAUCCGUAAGGAGAAGCUCUUGAUCGAAGCCCCGGUAAACGGCGGCCGUAACUAUAACGGUCCUAAGGUAGCGAAAUUCCUUGUCGGGUAAGUUCCGACCUGCACGAAUGGCGUAAUGAUGGCCAGGCUGUCUCCACCCGAGACUCAGUGAAAUUGAACUCGCUGUGAAGAUGCAGUGUACCCGCGGCAAGACGGAAAGACCCCGUGAACCUUUACUAUAGCUUGACACUGAACAUUGAGCCUUGAUGUGUAGGAUAGGUGGGAGGCUUUGAAGCGUGGACGCCAGUCUGCGUGGAGCCAACCUUGAAAUACCACCCUUUAAUGUUUGAUGUUCUAACGUUGGCCCCUUACCGGGGUUGCGGACAGUGUCUGGUGGGUAGUUUGACUGGGGCGGUCUCCUCCCAAAGCGUAACGGAGGAGCACGAAGGUUAGCUAAUCCUGGUCGGACAUCAGGAGGUUAGUGCAAUGGCAUAAGCUAGCUUGACUGCGAGCGUGACGGCGCGAGCAGGUGCGAAAGCAGGUCAUAGUGAUCCGGUGGUUCUGAAUGGAAGGGCCAUCGCUCAACGGAUAAAAGGUACUCCGGGGAUAACAGGCUGAUACCGCCCAAGAGUUCAUAUCGACGGCGGUGUUUGGCACCUCGAUGUCGGCUCAUCACAUCCUGGGGCUGAAGUAGGUCCCAAGGGUAUGGCUGUUCGCCAUUUAAAGUGGUACGCGAGCUGGGUUUAGAACGUCGUGAGACAGUUCGGUCCCUAUCUGCCGUGGGCGCUGGAGAAUUGAGGGGGGCUGCUCCUAGUACGAGAGGACCGGAGUGGACGCAUCACUGGUGUUCGGGUUGUCAUGCCAAUGGCACUGCCCGGUAGCUAAAUGCGGAAGAGAUAAGUGCUGAAAGCAUCUAAGCACGAAACUUGCCCCGAGAUGAGUUCUCCCUGAGACUUUAAGUCUCCUGAAGGAACGUUAAAGACGAUGACGUUGAUAGGCCGGGUGUGUAAGCGCAGCGAUGCGUUGAGCUAACCGGUACUAAUGAACCGUGAGGCUUAACCUU
rnacentral:rRNA from 1 species